rnacentral:rRNA from 1 species
GACGAACGCUGGCGGCGUGCUUAACACAUGCAAGUCGAGCGGUAAGGCCCUUCGGGGUACACGAGCGGCGAACGGGUGAGUAACACGUGGGUAACCUGCCCUGUACUCUGGGAUAAGCCUGGGAAACUAGGUCUAAUACCGGAUAUGACUCUAUGCCGCAUGGUGUGGGGUGGAAAGUUCCGGCGGUACAGGAUGGACCCGCGGCCUAUCAGCUUGUUGGUGGGGUGAUGGCCUACCAAGGCGACGACGGGUAGCCGGCCUGAGAGGGCGACCGGCCACACUGGGACUGAGACACGGCCCAGACUCCUACGGGAGGCAGCAGUGGGGAAUAUUGCGCAAUGGGCGAAAGCCUGACGCAGCGACGCCGCGUGAGGGAUGACGGCCUUCGGGUUGUAAACCUCUUUCGCCAGGGACGAAGCGAGAGUGACGGUACCUGGAGAAGAAGCACCGGCUAACUACGUGCCAGCCGCCGCCGUAACAC